rnacentral:lncRNA from 1 species
CCAUGAUCAACUUGUUUUUAGACCUAGUGUUGUAUGGGUGAGUAGCCAGAAUGCCGAACAAACUAACCACCUGCAUGUACUUGAUGACAAACAAGCAAACUCGUUAGAGAUUAGAGCUUAACAUAUAGGCAACCGCACGUUGGGGAUGCAAUGCACCUAAGCAGUUAACCAUUUCUAUUAUGUAUUCGAACUGCCGCUUGCGUCAUCCCGGCUUUCACUAAUUUGCAAAUUUUCUUUCUCUCUUUCCUUUUCAUUCCUGCCUUUCUGUGCUUGAUUUUUGUCUUUAUUCUUUUAUUCUCUCAUUUUUCCUCUCUUGUUUUGCCAUUAUUUCUUUCCCACAGUUUUAUUGUUUUCUCUCCUCUCUUUUUUUCAUUUCAUGGUUAUGAUCGAAUCCUAUGGGGAUUACUUACGUCUCAUGACGCCGCAUGAAUCAGAUCAAGCGUAGUUCUAGGAACAUAUGCGAAAUAAAAACAUUUUUGGGGUUUUCAAAUUUUCAUAAAAUAAAAGAAAUCAUCUUAAUUACGACGACUUCUCCUAUAGAUUUAAACAUAAAAACUGAUAGACUCGAUGAGCGGACCAACAAACUUCAAAAGAAAACUGAAAAUACAGAUUCGAAAAUGAACUAACAAAAUAUAGAGUCGAACAAACAAAGUCAAGAAUACAUAAGUGCCUCAACUACUGCUCCAGUUGGACUUGCUACGGGCCUUUGCGCCAUAUCUUCUUGGAGGGGAAACAAGUCAUCCAUGAUUUGUCAGACAAAAAUCAUAACUGAAGCGAAGAACAUGGACCUAGUCAUGUCUUCACACACAUUGCACUUCAUCACAAAGUAGUUCGCAAUUCUCCUAACCCUCUCCCUGAUAAUACCCUUCUCUUGUAGCAACCGUCCGAUCUGUUGAGAUCUGGCAUCCAAAACUUGUUCGGCUACAUGAUUUUACUCUUGAAGCUGCUGCAGUUCUUUUUCUAGCUGUGACAUCAGGGUGUCACACCUCCUUUUUACACACCCGUAGGUAGUACAAGGGAGUUUUUCCAAUUUAAGUGACAUUAUUCGAAAUGGGAUUAUUUAUUCAUUUUUUGUUCUGAGUCAACACUUAGAAUAAUUUGUUUUCUGGUGUCCCAAGUCACCGGCUUAUUUUAAAUCCUAAAUUGAGGAAAUUUUGACUUUCCUUUUGAAGUCUGUGAACCAGAAAUUCUGAAUAAGGAAUUUUAUUAACCCAAGGGAAGGUGUUAGGCACCCCCGGAUUCCGUGGUUCUAGCACGGUCGUUUAAACUAUGAUAAUUGGUCUAUUAUCUGAUUUUAAUACAUGUUUUAGCCUAUGGUAUAAUUUUAAACUAUUAAUCGCUUUUAAUUAAUUUUAGGAAGAUUCAAUGUUAUCUAAAAUGCGUCUUUGGAUCACGCCACAUGAAAUGCACCCGUGGUUCGCGACACAUUUUAUUUAACGUUGUUGAGAUUUGGAUUUGGGUCACAUGAAAUCCACACCCGAGUUUAGGAAAGUAAUUUUUUAAAUAGCACGCCUAAAGCAAUUACGCACUUUCAACUUUGCGAGGGCCAUGAAAAAUUCAACUAAAUGGCAUGCCUCGAUUUCUAAGGAUUAAAAUUAAUUAAGUGAGGGCCAUGGGUUUUGAGAUUUUAUUUGGCAUGGCAUGCCUCAAAUUAUUCUAACAAAAAGGUUUUGCUAUUCGAAGUUGUUAUAGUCGGGUUAUAUGAAAUGCACCCCCGACUUGAGAUUCAUGUAUCGUAACCAUGCCACGGGAACCGUAUUCUUGGCCACGAUAAUUUAUUAAUCACGCCUAAAGCAGCUGACGCGAAAUUACUUUCAAGGAAAGAAUGGAUUCCCUUAUACAUGAAAAGGUGGCGAUUUGUGUUUAGCAAAAAUAAACCCACAAACCAAUUUUAACUAAGACAAGUUCAAAGUAAAUGAAACAUUCAUGUACAGUGAAAGCAGAUAUACAUAGGCAUAAAGGGAACAAUUGUUGAAUUAGAACCAAUCAACUUGUCCAAAUAAUUUUGAACAAAGGCAGCAGUAUAUGUUUGGAAAACCUCAAAGGAAUUAAUUAUAUAUGCUUCCAGUUAUUUUAAACUAACCAAGAGUGAGUCAACAACCACAUCAUACUUUCACAAGAUGAAAACAAAUCAGACCUUCGUGUUGAAAUGCAGCGAGCUCGAUUUAAAAUCCAAAAUCACUGUGAACCAUUAUUAGUCCAAGCUUGGUUCCAAAGGAAAUCAUUGUACAAUUUACGAAUUUCCAAUAAUAGCUCAAACACUAGUCUAGAAUGCUAAGUCAACCAAACUUAAUUACUACGCCAAUAUCCAACUCCCAAAUUUAUGUCAGUACAUAAAUCUAUUUCAAUUGAUGUAUGUCACUAUUACCCAUUUGAGCCAUAGAAGGCAAAGCUCUAUUUUCACUUAAUCGGUCAACAAAUUAACUUUUCAAACAAGACAACCUAAAUAAAUUAAUGGUUUCAGAGCAAAUGAGUAGAGCGUGAACACGCCAGAACACCUCACAAAAUAACUAGAGCAUAAGAAAACGCAUGAAAAUUUGUUGAAUUCUUCAGAGGCACCCAAACAAACCAAUGUUCAAGCAUGAUUUCAUAUUAGGCCAAAUCUGAGAAAUACAAGUUUAAAGAAAACAUACCAAAUGGCACGAGGAUUUAAAUAUAAGCCAACAAAGCAAAGAAAACAACUGGUUGGAGCUGUGCAGCGAUGAACAGCAUGACGCAGCUUCAAUCUUCCGAAUUUGAAACCAAACUCGAACACCCAGAAAUGGCAGAGGUUGAAUUUCGAAAUUAAUUUUUCUUUAACAUUCUUUCAGAAAUUUCAGCUCUUCUUUUGUUUAUCAAACUUUGUGAUUUUUCAAAUCUUCACUUGGAAUUUUCAGCUUUGUUUCAGCCGUUUGCGUUCAAAUCGCGAGUGGGUGAGUCUUCAUCUUCGUUUGAGUGUGGUGGUGAGUGUAUUCUCCCAUGGAAAACGAAGGAGGGAGGUCGGAAAAGAGAAGAUGGAAGGGAUGCUCGUUCUGGUUUUUUUUGUUCAAGAGCGUCGUUGUUGGGUUUCUAAUGGGCUCCCUCCUUUUCUGAUAUUCUCCCUGAUUU